UACGAAGGGGGCUAGCGUUGUUCGGAAUCACUGGGCGUAAAGCGCACGUAGGCGGACUAUUAAGUCAGGGGUGAAAUCCCGGGGCUCAACCCUGGAAUUGCCUUUAAGACUGCAUCGCUUGAACAUCGGAGAGGUAAGUGGAAUUCCGAGUGUAGAGGUGAAAUUCGUAGAUAUUCGGAAGAACACCAGUGGCGAAGGCGGCUCACUGGCCCGAUACUGACGCUGAGGCACGAAAGCGUGGGGAGCAAACAGG
rnacentral:rRNA from 1 species